CUGAAUAACAUUCUGGGAAAUGGAAUGCUGAGAUGGUAACGGAUGAUAAGCUUCUAAACCGGAGGUUUAUUCUGCCAGAAUUAUGCUACUAAAAGGCCUCAGUGUCUGGAAGCAUCCACACCAUGAGGUUCAGGGCUCAGCAUCCAGCCUCAGUGUCUGGAAGCAUCCACACCAUGAGGUUGAGGGCUCAGCAUCCAAUAGAUAGCCAGAUCACCAAGGCAAACUCCACAGGUACAUUUGCCUUCAUCCAGCUUUCAUUCACUGGACUACAACUCCACUCUUUCAAAGAUGUCUUCUUCCAGUCAAGGUUACUGUGGACACCUCUUGCCUUGAAAUUCCCCUAAGGUUAAAGGUGAUUUGGUGUAUGGUUCCACCAGCAUGGAUAUCAGCAUACCUGAUGAUGGGAAAAAAAUCUGAGCCUGAUGAUGACAGUAGCCACAGCAUCCUGCAGUCUGCAGUCACAGUACCACUGUCAACCAUAGGUACUAUGGUGGGCAUAUUACCCUAUCCUUCCACAGACACAGUUCUAUUGCCUGUGCAGCCAACCCCCCUCAGUCAUAGGUGGGUACCGUUGGACAGAACAGGACAAGAAAAAGAACCAACAGCUGCUGCUGAUUCCUUAUAUGGAUACUACAGAAUAUAAUUUAUUUGUUUCUGACUUGCUGCUUUUCCCUUCAGCCUGCUGACAAUCAAACCUCUCCCAUAUGGACGCAGGCCAUACAGUUGAACUGUACUGCUUUCUUCAGUACUUUCUGAUUCGAAGCCUGUUUAAUCUUCCUGCAUUGACUUUCCAACUCCCCCCAACACUUUUUAAAAUUUAAAAAAGUGACCAGUGGUAUAAAUGCAUUCUGGUUAUGGAAUGCAUUAAAACUGAUUAUUGAUUUGUUUUUAAUGAAAAAUUGCCACCUCUAAACAUACUUCUGUUUGUUUAGCUGCUUCUUUUGUUUAUUUUCUGUAAUUCCUUGUAUCCAGCUGCCACAAUGAUUGCUGUGACAGUGUGACAUGAUUUGGUGUCAUGAGCUCAGCUUCUUACUUAACUGUAGGAAGAGAGAGCCAAGCCAUGCAAAAAAGUGUGCAGGAAGCAUAGUAGGAUCAGUCACCUGUGGUGACAGUGAGUUACGGAAGAUAGUUUUAAAGGUAAACACAAGUAGAUAAGUUUCUUUUAAAAUUUUAAGUGCUAUUGAGACUUGAGCAACACUAAGGUGGUGAGUUUUAAUUUGUAUAUCUCUGAAGGUCAUUCUCAACAGAUCUAGAAGCAAACUGUGACACAAUAGCAAAUCUACCAUCCCAAGUGGACGAUGGGAAUGUGCUGUAUAAAAGGCUUUCAGGACAACUGAGAAUGGAGGUUUUGGUUCAGUACAUUUCUCAUUUUCAAUUCUUAUUUGUUUGAUUCAAGUUGGGAUUGAAAAAGGUACUGCUGGACAAACUGCCCUCACUUCUGUUGUUAAGUUACUUUAGCUGCACGUGUAUAUAUUUUCUAGAAAAUUUUGAUAUCUGGGUAAUGCAAGUCAGUAUAAACUUUAUCUGUUCCUUAGUUUCACGACAGUAUUGUGUGGAUUUUAAAUUUAUAUAAAUAAACUCACAUUUCUGACUUGAUUU